GGAAUGCGAUAAGUAAUGUGAAUUGCAGAAUUCAGUGAAUCAUCGAAUCUUUGAACGCACAUUGCGCCCCCUGGUAUUCCGGGGGGCAUGCCUGUUCGAGCGUCAUUUCACCACUCAAGCCUCGCUUGGUAUUGGGCGACGCGGUCCGCCGCGCGCCUCAAAUCGACCGGCUGGGUCUUUCGUCCCCUCAGCGUUGUGGAAACUAUUCGCUAAAGGGUGCCGCGGGAGGCCACGCCGUAAAACAACCCCAUUUCUAAGGUUGACCUCGGAUCAGGUAGGGAUACCCGCUGAACUUAAGC
rnacentral:misc_RNA from 1 species